GUCUGAAAGGCUACAUUAGAGGUAGAUUUAUCCCUGCAAUGUAAGUUUCUCAGAAAUGAAGUUUUACAUCGCAGGGUUAAACCGACAGCAGCACUGCACUGUCGGUAGUUCGGUGAGAUGGAAUGGUCUCUGUGUCUAUAGUGUGCUCCAUCCUAAUAGAAUCUGCUUCUCUCACAUUCCUGAGUUAUGAGUGGAAUUAACCACUGAAUCAAUCAGUCUAAUGCCAUCUGUACCUCUAACUUCCCAGCAUUAUAAUCAGAUUGUUGUGCCUCACCCGAAGCACAGGCAUUCAAAGUUGCAGAUCUAAUGUGUGUGUAACAACUUCAAUAUAUACAAAUGAUCAUUUGAAAAUAUAAAUGCUGUCACAGCACAUAU